GACGAACGCUGGCGGCGUGCUUAAUACAUGCAAGUCGAACGGAAAGGCCCUGCUCUUGUGGGGUGCUCGUGUGGCGAACGGGUGAGUAACACGCGAGUAUCCCCUCCUUGACUUUGGGAUAACUCCUGGAAAAUCGGGCUCUUAUCGGAUAGGAGCUCCUGCUGCACGGGGGGGGUUGGUAAGUUUCGGCGGUGGGGGCUGGUCUCGCGGCUUAUCCGCUUGUUGGUCGGGUAGUGGCUGACCAAGGCUUCGACGGGUAGCCGGCCUUGGAGAGGGGCCGGCCACAUUGGGACUGAGGUACGGCCCAGACUCCUACGGGAGGCAGCAGUGGGGAGUAUUGCAGAAUGGGCGGGAGCCUGAUGCAGCAACGCCGCGUGCGGGAUGACGGGCUUCGGGUUAUAAACCGCUGUGGACUGUGACGAAGCGGGAGUGACGGUAACGGGUAAAGAAGCACCGGCUAACUACGUG
rnacentral:rRNA from 1 species